CCUGACAUAUUGGCCGAGAUGUCAUUAUCUAGGCCGAGGUGUUCAUCACCAAGGCCGAGAUGUGUACUAUCUAGGCCGAGAUGUUACCUUUGCACCUAAGUGAUCUUGUCCUGGAGUGGUAUGACCUAGACCGAGGUGUGGCGCAUCUAGGCCAAGGUGUGGCACAGCUUAGUCAAGUGUUGUCCUUCCUAGCCGAGAUCAUUGUCACCUUAGUUGCCGAAGCUUUGUCCUUAGCCGAUGUCAUCACUUGCCGGAGUGCCUUA
rnacentral:misc_RNA from 1 species